GCAUCUAUCUGCAUAGACGCCUCACUCACUCAUUUCACUUUAUCAAUAAAAAUGCCAAGUAAUAAGAUCAAUCUGCGUGAUCGGUGGCGCCUUUGUUUUGAUUUGCACAUCAUCCGCUUUAUGUGGUGUUGGUGCGUGAAACUGUAGUAGAGCGACUGGCGUACAAGCGGCGCGCAUGCCGCGAGGGACACGUUGGAAAUAUAAAAAUGGACAAACUCCCCUUCAUGGGGGCUCACCCGAAUGAAUCACAGUAACACACGAAACACUCUUUUAGUUUGUAAAGAUUUUUAUUGUAAGUCGCGGCGGCGUAGCGUGCGUAGAGUGCGUGUGGCGCGCGAACGCCCGCACUUCGGUUCAAAUUUGAGCGGUACCGAGGUAUGAUGCGAACUUCCGUGUAGCUCUUGACAAAAUAUUGAUCGACGCGACUCCCGCCGUCUGUGGACAUUUUUCACUGAGGCCGGCUUUCGGAAGGAGGAUAAUCGCUGUACCUCACCGGCUUACUGUCUGUGUGUCCGUAUUAUGCCCAAAUGUGAGACCCCUUAACGCGCAGGUAUUGGGGGACAGCCUUCUUCGACCUAUGUAUGUAAGUCUCCACCGCUCGAAUCUUAGAGGGUUGUUCGUUUAUUUAUUUAUUUACACUUUGUACACAACGAAAACAAUCACAAAAAAAAAUACAUAUUGAGCGUUGGUUGUACAGGCGAGCAUAACUCUAAUAGAGUUUUCUUACUGCUAACCGUUUCGAUACAAAUUAGAUGUUCGUUUUAUUUUUAUCCUUUUCUUAUUUAACCUGGGUUUCUGUUGCUGAAACACAUGUUCAGUAUUUUCAGGAUAAAUUUUACGGGAAAAGUUGAAUGGCGAAAUUCGAACCCAUGACCACGUGAUCGAAAGUAUAAAAAUCAAUUUACUUAAAUCAUAAAGUACCCUGCCCUGUAUCACAGUAUUGCUUACUAAAAAUAUUGUUGUUUAUUGCGACGAGAUUCUGGAUAAUUGUA